UACGUAGGGUGCAAGCGUUGUCCGGAAUUAUUGGGCGUAAAGGGCUCGUAGGCGGUCUGUCACGUCGAAAGUGAAAACUCAGGGCUUAACCCUGAGCCUGCUUCCGAUACGGGCAGACUAGAGGUAUGCAGGGGAGAACGGAAUUCCUGGUGUAGCGGUGAAAUGCGCAGAUAUCAGGAGGAACACCGGUGGCGAAGGCGGUUCUCUGGGCAUUACCUGACGCUGAGGAGCGAAAGUGUGGGGAGCGAACAGG
rnacentral:rRNA from 1 species